UCCGGCUUAUCACCGGCAGUUUCUUCAGAGUGCUCAGCCUAACCUGUUAGCAACAGAAGACGAGGGUUGCGCUCGUUGCGGGACUUAACCCAACAUCUCACGACACGAGCUGACGACAGCCAUGCAGCACCUGUGCUUCCCCCACCCGAAGUGAAGGACUCCUUUUCGGGAGUCCAAAGGGAGCAUGUCGAAUCCUGGUAAGGUUCUUCGCGUUGCCUCGAAUUAAACCACAUGUUCCACCGCUUGUGCGGGUCCCCGUCAAUUUCUUUGAGUUUUAAUCUUGCGACCGUACUCCCCAGGCGGGGUGCUUAACGCGUUAGCUACGCUACUGAGAGGUAACCUCCCAACAGCUAGCACCCAUCGUUUACAGCGUGGACUAC
rnacentral:misc_RNA from 1 species